CAGCGGAGGAGACACAGGCAGAUGUUGGUUUCAGUGUACACACGAAAUAAACACAUACUUGUUGCACUGGUCUGUGUAGGAAAAAUGCAUCUAAAGAUUCUGACCGACAAAUAUCCCCCAUAUAUAUUUCACAUCUUUCUUAUACCUUAAUUGGGGUGUUCAUCUUUUUUAGCUCAAUGAGUCAGUUUUGGCUUAAUUUAGUAUCAGGACAUUCAUGUAACAUGAAGUCAGCUAAACAGAGACAAAUUAAACAUAUUACUAACAGCAAACUAUUAUAAAAUAACUUCUCAUCUUUAGGUUUGGAUUUUCUUUCAAUUAAAAAGCAAUACAGAAGUUUGACAUUUUAUAGAGGAGGGUCAGAGGUCAAAGCCAGAGCCCCUGAGCAAGAUGAAGUUACAGGUUAACCGGCAUUGAAUUCAGUAAAUGUUCUCAUUGCCAUGAUUAUUUUCCCGACACAUGGCACCUGGAUUCAUUCUGACCAGCGUUUAGCCAGAGACUUCCUGUUUCAUACAUCACACAUGAUCUCUGCAGUUGUUUUUUGUACCGCUCCCUUACAAAGAAACCAUGAAAUAAACAAAAUGUCAGCAGGUCCAAUAUUGUAAACAUUAGUACAAUAUUAAAUCCACCAUUUCAAAUGAAUAAGUACAGCUUUGUUAAUGAAUAAAUUUUUUAAUUAUCCUAAAUAAUAGGAGUGGUGCUUGGUUGAAGUUGCAUGUGUACAAUAUGAGAUGUGAUUUUGUUUCAUAGUGUAAACAAACAGUGAAUACAAUGCAUGGGGAAAACAAUGAGGGACAGGAGAGCGUGACAUUUGAUGACAGACACACUUAACAGAUGAACUACUUUUGAAAUUCGAUUUUAAACACGUUAUGCAUCAUUUAUAGAACAAUGCUUUUCUGAUAAGGGUGUUCAGACAAAGUCACCCACGUUUUCUAGCUGAGUACAUUCAUUAGAAUGAUUAACAGAAUAUAAAUAAAUGCUCCUGUUCACAUGUAUUAAUACAACUUUACUAUUCUAUUAUUAUGACAUGAGAUUCAGAUGAGAUAGAUUUGCACAAAAACAGAAAAGUCCCUUAAAGACCUGCUUUUUAAUUUCACAGCUUAAAUAAUUCAGAGCCUGUAAUUUUUCACUUUUACUUGAGUAAAGAAGUUGAAUUGGUAUUUCAACUUCUACCAGUUUUUUUUUUUAAAUACAAGUAUCUGUAUUUCUAAAUGAGUCAAGAAUCUUAUGUACUUAUACCAUAUAUAUUAUGGGGAACAUAUAAAAAUAUGGAGUUUAUGCAUUACCACCACCUGGAAGUCGAUAUUUUUGCAUAUUAAUAUAAUUUUAACUCUUAUAUUAAAUCUUAUAUUAACUUUCGAGCACUUUAUGUACACCCCAACUUACACUACGAGUAAACUAAUAAAAUCAUCAGAAGUAUAGUAAAGUGAAAAUAAAAACCAGCUGACAUUUAAUUUACUUGAUGGUUUCUUUGUAAUGGAGCAACACAAAAAACAGCUGCAGAGGUCAUCUCUUAUGUCGUGAACAUGGAACAGGAAGUCUCUGGCUAAAAUCUGGUUGGAUGAAUCCAGGUGCAGAUGUAUCACAGGUUAAUCUGGUUGUUUGUCAGAGUCUGCAUUGUUCUUUUGUGAGGGAAUGCCAACAGUUAAAUGCCAUUUUGGUGCCCUUUGAGUUUAUUUCCUGGUUUGUCUUUAUUUCCUCCUAAAACUAUGAUACACCCGUUUUAUCCUCACCACUUAAUCUGGAUCACCGGUGCUGUGCCAAAAAGUCUGUCAAAAAAGUGCUGCUGACAUUUCUAUGCGUUUUCUGUGUUUAAUAUCUUAUUAUUGCUUAUUUUGGUAAACAGGCUGAUGUUAACAGGAUUUACAAAGGGGUUAUACGUAAAACAAAGAAAUAACCUGUUUUGAUAUUGUACCUACUUUGUGUUCUACAUUAAUUUUAAUUCAGUCCUUUGUGGUUUCCUAAAAUCCUUCCAUAGAACUGCUUUGUUACAUUUGUCGCCAUUCCUGCUGCACUCUUGGCCACACAUUUUACUUUUUAAUCUCAAGCUCAAUGAGACUUAUCACCUGACUUGACCUUAACACCAAGAUAGCAAAUAUGAAACAGUGGCUUUGCAGGUCACCUAAGGCAGAGACAGAUCUUACAACACCUGAGUUUAGACACCACACAUGCUAUUAAUAAUUUACCUAUUAUCAAAUAUCUAAUUUACACACUUAAAUAUAACGUUUCGGAAAAACUGUUACUGAGGGAAAAAUUAUCUGAAUGUUAGGUCAUUUUCAUUGGUACAUGUAACUGGAAGGUGGAUUUUCAUUAGUUAAGUGGCAGCCAUUAAAACGCGCCGUUGUCGCCUUUGACAGUUACUGCCUUUAGUCAGAACACAAACACCGCGAGCCUCUCUCACUGUGGAGAUUACUCCAUUCACCGGUUUUUUGUCUCACUGGUUUUAUCCGUUUUUUAAUCGUUAUAUUAAUACAUAAUAUGAUGCGGGAGAAAAACACGUCAAACCACCAAGCAGGAAUACGUGCUACUUCCGGUGAGUAAUUUCAAAAUAAGUCAUCUGGGUCCUGCUUUACGUCUGAAAGUCUAAUCAAUUUGUUUCUAUUAUUGUAAUCCGGCGUCACAACUUCUAAUCCAACAAACAAACGUUUCUGGACCCGUUUCAUCUAGUGUGUGAAACAAAAUUGAAAGUUUACAUAACACAUAUAACCACACCGUUUCCGCGCGAAUACUGCCUAACAGCGGCUAACUUGACGCUAGCAUUAGCUUUCUGUCAUUUGCUCAUGGGGGACUAAAGAGGGCCUCUUUAAGAAGCUAACAAACCGACGUGUGGCGCUCAGGUGCACAAUAAUACUUCCGCGUUUACAUCGCGCAACGCAAACCCCCGGGGCGUGAUGACGUAGUCCACAAACAGAGUGAAGUGAAGUGUCCUGGCGUGACAGAGGAUGGAGACGCACGACCCCUGAAAGGACGAGCCGAAGGAAGAUCGGUUUAACGGAUUUAUACCUAUGAGAAGAGACUUCACUGAAGAAGAGGAGGUGCAGACGUUGUGCUGGUUGUAAAUAGAUAACCACACUUUGGACGAGAAGAGUAAAAUGUUGAGAUGGUCUUUUUAUUGAAACUGUGUUCAAACAGCCUCCCUGGUGCCUCCUCAGAGCUUCGUGUGACCGAGGAGUUAUUAGUUCAUUUACACUAAAUUAACCCUGACACUCAUCCUCACACACAUACACACACUCAUACUCUGACACACCCAUCAAAAACAACAAAAUGCAUUUAAAGGUACACUGUGUAGUUUUUAGAGGAAAAGACUUUCCAGGUUUCUACAGUUUAACAUCUGGUGUCCAAUAUGUUAUCAGAACAUCUCUGAUUAUUCUGCGUUUGAUCUAAAAA